rnacentral:lncRNA from 12 species
ACACACUACUCAGUGCUUAGUAUCAAUAUUUAUAAAGCAAAAAGUGUGAGAAACUCUUUGACAAACUCAUGUUUAUCUAAUAGCUUUUUUAGAGACUUUGGUACAACUCUAUCAGAUAAAACAUGUAACACCUAACAAAAUUAAAAUUAUGCAGCAGUUUGGGUUUCAGAGACAGAAACUGCUGAGUCACAGUGCAGAUGACCAAUGACAUCUUGCUGUAAAUCUUUUUUUCUUGAAAAAGUAAGUGAGUGGAAUGCUAAUUAGCAUACACUGAGUGGUAGUGAGUCACUACCAUGUCAGUUAAAAACCUUUUCUUUACCUUGGUCCACACCUACCUAAUAUUCAGGUUGACAUAGGCAUGAGCACAUAACUAUGAGAUAGUUCUGGCAGAACUAUCUGCGGCCCCAGCCUGCUUGGAGAUGCCUAGAGCUUUUGCAACAAAAGCAAAUACGCUUUUCUGUGAUGGAGAGUAGUGGGGAACACAGAGGGGCCCCAGGAAGAAGCACACAUCUUGCUCAAGAAGGAAUUCAGAGAAACAAAAUUGGGAGAGACCAAGAGUGUGAAUACUAGACUUAAACACACAAAAACAAAACCACUGCGUAAGAAGAAAAACUGGGAAGAAAAUACAGGGUGGGAAUAUGUAUUAUUAACUUUCUACUGCCAUGGGACUGAAUUCGUGCAAAUUCUUUUUCCUGGGAACGAAUGGAGCUGCAUCAUUAUAGAAGCAGAUGUUGGCUGGAAGUCACCCACAACUUGCUACUGAAUGUGAGUUAAUUAUAACAGCUCAGUACUCUGACUUUCCUUUGGGAAACCAUUUUGCCUCUCUCUGCCUCAGUUUAUAGGAAAAUGAAGGAGCCUAGCUAAUCAGCUCAGUUGAUAUAAAAUCAAUCCAUAACUAGAAAAAGAAAAAAAAACAGUAGGAAGACCUCAUGCAUAGUUAAUUAACACAUAUGGAGUUUGCUAGUUACAGCUAAAUAUUGACAUAAUAUUUUCUCUUUUUUUUGACAUAAUAUUUUCAGUAGAAAAGGUUAUAUAUGCACUUUCUCUACCACCCACUUUUAAGUGGGGAGAACUCCACUUAACUUAAACUGCCUGGUUUUGGUCUUAGCUGAAAGGUAAAUUUCUUUGUCAAGUUCGGGAACACUGUGUCCAAUCAUUAUUGAAUAAUAGUGUUUAAAUCCCAUUUCUACUGCGCCCAAGAGGAAAAUUUAGAUACGGUUUUUCUCAUUAACUGGAAACACUACACAGUUCAUCCAUGACUUCUUCUCCAUAAAUUACUCUCUAGCAAAGUGUGCCAGAAAAAGUCACAAGAAAAAUUCUGUUUCCGAGUCAUAUCUGAAGCGUAGCCGGUCUCUGAGAAGCUUUAUGGACCUCUCAGAAGGAUGGCCAUCCCUGGGCGUGAGGUUGUCCAGGCUCAAAAUGGUGUGCCUGCGUUGGCUGGGG